CCUACGGGAGGCAGCAGUGAGGAAUAUUGGUCAAUGGGCGCGAGCCUGAACCAGCCAAGUAGCGUGAAGGAUGACUGCCCUACGGGUUGUAAACUUCUUUUAUAAAGGAAUAAAACGAGGCACGUGUGCCUUUUUCAAUGUACUUUAUGAAUAAGGAUCGGCUAACUCCGUGCCAGCAGCCGCGGUAAUACGGAGGCUCCGAGCGUUAUCCGGAUUUAUUGGGUUUAAAGGGAGCGUAGUUGGGUUGUUAAGUCAGUUGUGAAAGUUUGCGGCUCAACCGUAAAAUUGCAAUUGAUACUGGCAGUCUUGAGUACAGUUGAGGUAGGCGGAAUUCGUGGUGUAGCGGUGAAAUGCUUAGAGAUCACGAAGAACCCUGAUUGCGAAGGCAGCUUACUAAACUGUGACUGACAUUGAUGCUCGAAAGUGUGGGGAUCAAACAGGAUUAGAUACCCGGGUAGUC
rnacentral:rRNA from 1 species